UACGUAGGGGGCGAGCGUUAAUCGGAAUUACUGGGCGUAAAGUGUGCGCAGGCGGCCGCGCAAGUCGAGUGUGAAAUCCCCGAGCUUAACUUGGGAAUUGCGCUCGAAACUACGUGGCUGGAGUGUGGCAGAGGAAGGUGGAAUUCCACGUGUAGCGGUGAAAUGCGUAGAUAUGUGGAGGAACACCGAUGGCGAAGGCAGCCUUCUGGGCCAACACUGACGCUCAUGCACGAAAGCGUGGGGAGCAAACAGG
rnacentral:rRNA from 1 species